UACGUAGGGGGCAAGCGUUGUCCGGAUUUAUUGGGCGUAAAGAGCGUGUAGGCGGCCUGACAGGUCUGCUGUGAAAACUCGAGGCUCAACCUCGAGACGUCGGCGGAAACCCUCUGGCUAGAGUCCGGAAGAGGAGAGUGGAAUUCCUGGUGUAGCGGUGAAAUGCGCAGAUAUCAGGAAGAACACCCGUGGCGAAGGCGGCUCUCUGGGACGGUACUGACGCUGAGACGCGAAAGCGUGGGGAGCAAACAGG
rnacentral:rRNA from 1 species